GUGGGGAAUUUUGGACAAUGGGCGAAAGCCUGAUCCAGCCAUGCCGCGUGCAGGAUGAAGGCCUUCGGGUUGUAAACUGCUUUUGUACGGAACGAAAAGACUCCUUCUAAUAAAGGGGGUCCAUGACGGUACCGUAAGAAUAAGCACCGGCUAACUACGUGCCAGCAGCCGCGGUAAUACGUAGGGUGCAAGCGUUAAUCGGAAUUACUGGGCGUAAAGCGUGCGCAGGCGGUUAUAUAAGACAGAUGUGAAAUCCCCGGGCUCAACCUGGGAACUGCAUUUGUGACUGUAUAGCUAGAGUACGGUAGAGGGGGAUGGAAUUCCGCGUGUAGCAGUGAAAUGCGUAGAUAUGCGGAGGAACACCGAUGGCGAAGGCAAUCCCCUGGACCUGUACUGACGCUCAUGCACGAAAGCGUGGGGAGCAAACAGGAUUAGAUACCCCAGUAGUCC
rnacentral:rRNA from 1 species